AACAAUUAUCAUCUUCAGUUUUGAGAGACUUAAGAAAGUUUUUCAUUUUAACUUGCUUGCAAAUUGUAUUUGCAACAUUUUAAUCUUUUUAAGAUUAAGGGCCUAUAGCUCAGUUGGUUAGAGCACACGCCUGAUAAGCGUGAGGUCGGUGGUUCAAGUCCAUUUAGGCCCACCAUAACCACAAAUAAGGCAAAAUCUUAAAAAAGCUCUUUGAAAAGUAGAUAAACGAAGGUUAAAAAAUC
rnacentral:misc_RNA from 1 species